GAUGAAGAACGCAGCGAAAUGCGAUAAAUAAUGUGAAUUGCAGAAUUCAGUGAAUCAUCGAAUCUUUGAACGCACCUUGCGCCCUUUGGCUAUUCCGAAGGGCAUGCCUGUUUGAGUAUCAUGAACACCUCAACUCUUCACGGCUUGCCGUGAUGAGUUUGGACUUUGGGGGUCUUGCUGGCCUACGAGCCAGCUCCUCUCAAAUGUAUUAGCUUGCCGGUGUUUGGUGGCAUCACAGGUGUGAUAACUAUCUACGCUUGUGGUUUUCCACUAGGUAACCUUCAGCAAUGGAGGUUCACCGGAGCUCACAAAUGUCUCUCCUUGCCAAGGACAGAUUUUGACCAUUUGAUCUCAAAUCAGGUAGGACUACCCGCUGAACUUAAGCAUAUCAAUAAGCGGAGGA
rnacentral:misc_RNA from 1 species